GAUGAAGAACGUAGCGAAAUGCGAUAAGUAAUGUGAAUUGCAGAAUUCAGUGAAUCAUCGAAUCUUUGAACGCACAUUGCGCCCCCUGGUAUUCCGGGGGGCAUGCCUGUUCGAGCGUCAUUUCACCACUCAAGCCUCGCUUGGUAUUGGGCAACGCGGUCCGCCGCGUGCCUCAAAUCGUCCGGCUGGGUCUUCUGUCCCCUAAGCGUUGUGGAAACUAUUCGCUAAAGGGUGUUCGGGAGGCUACGCCGUAAAACAACCCCAUUUCUAAGGUUGACCUCGGUUCAGGUAGGGAUACCCGCUGAACUUAAGCAUAUCAAUAAGCGGAGGA
rnacentral:misc_RNA from 1 species